rnacentral:rRNA from 1 species
CCUACGGGUGGCAGCAGUGGGGAAUAUUGGGCAAUGGGCGCAAGCCUGACCCAGCGACGCCGCGUGAAGGAAGAAGGCUUUCGGGUUGUAAACUUCUUUUAUGAGGGAAGAAACAAAUGACGGUACCUCAUGAAUAAGCCACGGCUAACUACGUGCCAGCAGCCGCGGUAAUACGUAGGGGGCAAGCGUUAUCCGGAUUUACUGGGUGUAAAGGGCGGGUAGGCGGGACUGUAAGUCAGGUGUGAAAAUUAUGGGCUCAACCCAUAACCUGCAGUUGAAACUGUAGUACUUGAGUGAUGGAGAGGUAAGCGGAAUUCCUUGUGUAGCGGUGAAAUGCGUAGAUAUUCGGAGGAACACCAGUGGCGAAGGCGGCCUACUGGACAUUAACUGACGCUGAGGCGCGAAAGCGUGGGGAGCAAACAGGAUUAGAUACCCCAGUAGUC